rnacentral:rRNA from 1 species
UUCCAGACUCCUACGGGAGGCAGCAGUGGGGAAUAUUGGGCAAUGGGCGCAAGCCUGACCCAGCAACGCCGCGUGAAGGAAGAAGGCUUUCGGGUUGUAAACUUCUUUUCUCAGGGACGAAGCAAGUGACGGUACCUGAGGAAUAAGCCACGGCUAACUACGUGCCAGCAGCCGCGGUAAUACGGGGGAUGCGAGCGUUAUCCGGAUUUAUUGGGUUUAAAGGGUGCGUAGGCGGCGCUUCAGGUCAGCGGUGAAAUACCGGGGCUCAACCCCGGGGCUGCCGUUGAAACCGGAGCGCUAGAAUUCCGAUGCCGUCGGAGGAAUGUGUGGUGUAGCGGUGAAAUGCAUAGAUAUCACACAGAACACCGAUUGCGAAGGCAUCUGACGAAUCGGAGAUUGACGCUGAUGCACGAAAGCGUGGGUAUCGAACAGGAUUAGAUACCCCGGUA